AGAGUUUGAUCAUGGCUCAGGACGAACGCUGGCGGCGCGCUUAACACAUGCAAGUCGAACGAGAGAAGAGGAGCUUGCUUUUCUGAUCUAGUGGCGGACGGGUGAGUAACACGUGAGCAAUCUGCCUUUCAGAGGGGGAUACCGAUUGGAAACGAUCGUUAAUACCGCAUAACAUAAUUGAACCGCAUGAUUUGAUUAUCAAAGAUUUAUCGCUGAAAGAUGAGCUCGCGUCUGAUUAGCUAGUUGGUAAGGUAACGGCUUACCAAGGCGACGAUCAGUAGCCGGACUGAGAGGUUGAUCGGCCACAUUGGGACUGAGACACGGCCCAGACUCCUACGGGAGGCAGCAGUGGGGAAUAUUGCACAAUGGAGGAAACUCUGAUGCAGCGAUGCCGCGUGAGGGAAGAAGGUUUUAGGAUUGUAAACCUCUGUCUUCAGGGACGAAAAAAGACGGUACCUGAGGAGGAAGCUCCGGCUAACUACGUGCCAGCAGCCGCGGUAAUACGUAGGGAGCGAGCGUUGUCCGGAAUUACUGGGUGUAAAGGGAGCGUAGGCGGGAUCGCAAGUCAGAUGUGAAAACUAUGGGCUUAACCCAUAAACUGCAUUUGAAACUGUGGUUCUUGAGUGAAGUAGAGGUAAGCGGAAUUCCUAGUGUAGCGGUGAAAUGCGUAGAUAUUAGGAGGAACAUCAGUGGCGAAGGCGGCUUACUGGGCUUUAACUGACGCUGAGGCUCGAAAGCGUGGGGAGCAAACAGGAUUAGAUACCCUGGUAGUCCACGCCGUAAACGAUGAUUACUAGGUGUGGGGGGACUGACCCCUUCCGUGCCGCAGCAAACGCAAUAAGUAAUCCACCUGGGGAGUACGACCGCAAGGUUGAAACUCAAAGGAAUUGACGGGGGCCCGCACAAGCAGUGGAGUAUGUGGAUUAAUUCGAAGCAACGCGAAGAACCUUACCAGGUCUUGACAUCGUAUGCAUAGCUCAGAGAUGAGUGAAAUCUCUUCGGAGACAUAUAGACAGGUGGUGCAUGGUUGUCGUCAGCUCGUGUCGUGAGAUGUUGGGUUAAGUCCCGCAACGAGCGCAACCCUUACUGUUAGUUGCUACGCAAGAGCACUCUAGCAGGACUGCCGUUGACAAAACGGAGGAAGGUGGGGAUGACGUCAAAUCAUCAUGCCCCUUAUGACCUGGGCCUCACACGUACUACAAUGGCUGUCAACAGAGGGAAGCAAAGCCGCGAGGUGGAGCGAACCCCUAAAAGCAGUCUUAGUUCGGAUUGUAGGCUGCAACCCGCCUACAUGAAGUCGGAAUUGCUAGUAAUCGCAGAUCAGCAUGCUGCGGUGAAUACGUUCCCGGGCCUUGUACACACCGCCCGUCACGCCAUGGGAGUCGGUAACACCCGAAGCCUGUAGUCUAACCGCAAGGAGGACGCAGUCGAAGGUGGGAUUGAUGACUGGGGUGAAGUCGUAACAAGGUA
rnacentral:rRNA from 1 species